rnacentral:rRNA from 1 species
AUUGAACGCUGGCGGCAUGCCUUACACAUGCAAGUCGAACGGCAGCACGGGAGCAAUCCUGGUGGCGAGUGGCGAACGGGUGAGUAAUAUAUCGGAACGUGCCCAGUCGUGGGGAUAACGUAGCGAAAGCUACGCUAAUACCGCAUACGAUCUAUGGAUGAAAGCGGGGGAUCGCAAGACCUCGCGCGAUUGGAGCGGCCGAUAUCAGAUUAGGUAGUUGGUGAGGUAAAGGCUCACCAAGCCGACGAUCUGUAGCUGGUCUGAGAGGACGACCAGCCACACUGGGACUGAGACACGGCCCAGACCUCCUACGGGAGCAGCAGUGGGAAUUUUGGACAAUGGGCGCAAGCCCUGAUCCAGCAAUGCCGCGUGCAGGAUG